AACGAACGCUGGCGGCAGGCCUAACACAUGCAAGUCGAGCGAACCUUCGGGUUAGCGGCGGACGGGUGAGUAACGCGUGGGAAUAUGCCCUUUGGUACGGAAUAGCCUCGGGAAACUGAGAGUAAUACCGUAUGUGCCCUUCGGGGGAAAGAUUUAUCGCCAAAGGAUUAGCCCGCGUUGGAUUAGGUAGUUGGUGGGGUAAUGGCCUACCAAGCCUACGAUCCAUAGCUGGUUUGAGAGGAUGAUCAGCCACACUGGGACUGAGACACGGCCCAGACUCCUACGGGAGGCAGCAGUGGGGAAUCUUAGACAAUGGGGGCAACCCUGAUCUAGCCAUGCCGCGUGAGUGAUGAAGGCCUUAGGGUUGUAAAGCUCUUUCAGCUGGGAAGAUAAUGACGGUACCAGCAGAAGAAGCCCCGGCUAACUCCGUGCCAGCCGCCGCCGUAACAC
rnacentral:rRNA from 1 species